rnacentral:rRNA from 1 species
GGAAGGCGCGAACGUUGUUCGGUGUCAUUGGGCAUAAAGGGCACGUAGGCGGCCGUGUGGGGUCAGAGGGUGGGAAUCCAUCAGCUCAACUGAUGAACUGCCUCUGAAACUGCAUGGCUUGAGAAUCGGAGGGGGAAGUGGAACGUUGCAUGUAACGGUGAAAUGUGUAGAUAUGCAACGGAAGGCCGGUGGCGAAGGCGGCUUCCUGGACGAUUUCCGACGCUGAGGUGCGAAAGCGUGGGUAGCGAACGGGAUUAGAUACCCCGGUAGUCCACGCUGUAAACGAUGGGCACUACGUAGGGGGGCUUCUACGUUCCCCCUGCCGGAGCAAAUGCGUUAAGUGCCCCGCCUGGGGAGUACGGUCGCAAAGGCUG